CUGGUGAGGGGGAGGAGGAGGCCGGCUGGCUGGCAUAGCGCGGAAGAAGGCAGGAGGCUCCUCUUGCACUGGGAAGCCGAGGUUGCCACCGCAGACCUGGCAAGACUGGGGGCUGGACGCCCCUCCUGGCCAGCCCCCGCGCAGUACAGGUACCUGGAGACGAUUUCAACUGAAGUAAUGAAGGCAGUGUCGUGCUGUCGAGAGAAAGGUGGAUCCCAACAACAGGAAACUACCUAAAUCACCGACCAGUUCUCGUGUUGCCAGCUUGGGGCUGCCUCGCCCGCCGCCGCCGCCGCCGCCGCCGCCGCCGCCGCCGCCGCCUCUGCUGCCGCCACCGCUGCCGCCAAGGAGAAAACCCCGAGAUCGUGCCUGACCCAGCCCCUUGGCAACCUGCACCAGCCUCCGCCACUGACUGCCCCAAACCCAUGGUGGAGGAAGAAGCCACCGGUCCUCAGUAAGCUUAGCGGAGCAGCGCCGAGUGGCGGCAGCCUCGGGCGACUCGAAAGGCGCCGGGGACAGCUCACAGCCGGGUCCUGUGUCUGGCCGCGGCCUCUCCGGCUGGCUCACCGCAGCCUCUCCCUCUCCCCCUCUUCUCCCUCCUAGCCACCCUCCCGCGGAGGCGCGCGCUCCCGAGACCCUCCCCCGCUAGCGUCGCCCCCCCACCUCCGGCAAGCAGGAAACGCGUGGCCCUGCGGAGGGCCACCAGGUGGGGGAGGCCGAGCAGGGGGAGGGGGUGACCCUGGGCAGCCCGGAUCGGGUCCAUCUAACGGCGGCCGCAGACGCUAGUGCUGUUCAAUGCGUGGGCCCUGCUCCACGGAUUUAGGCUCGGGGUCACCCUGGGAUCCCCUGCACCCGCAAAAUAACUGGCAUCUGCGAGCCUCUCUGGGGCUCCCGAAAGAAAUCCUGUUUAGCCUCCUGGGUCUGUGGAGCUCGACUCUCAACUGAAACCACUGGUCCAAGACAGCCACAAUCCAGAUAUACUAGCAAGUCAUAAAACUGAACAAAAGCCGACAAACCUUAAGGCACCAGGGCUAUAGGGCCCAGACAAAUUACGACCGUCUAGGUAAUAUUUAAAUAGAUGCCUAAAGUAAUUGCAGGGGGCUCAGGCUGGUCCUCCUGUUGUAAAAAUGGUCGACGGGAUAAAGUGGAAGGUGAAGAUAAGAAGUCAAAAAAGAGUCAACCAGUCAAGCUCUUUUGCUAACCUGCAUGUCCAUGACUGGAUACUCUACUGUUGGCCAAGAAAGAAAAGAAGAAAGAAGAGAACUCAGGCCUGUUCUCCCUGAUUAAACACAGCCCAGCACUCUAGGC